rnacentral:tRNA from 1 species
GGGUCCGUAGCUCAGGGGUAGAGCAGCCGGCUCAUAACCGGUGGGUCGCAGGUUCGAGCCCUGCCGGGCCCA